UGUGCGGUGUUGUAAUUGGAAGCAUGGUGCCCUAUUGCGGUUCGAUUCCGUCAUAUGACUGUUGGGAGCAUGGAUUACGGAGCAGGUUCAAAUCCUGUCCGCACAU
rnacentral:tRNA from 1 species